CAGACGGGAGGCAGCAGGGAGGAAGAGGGGGCAAGGGACGAGAGUCUGAACCAGCCAAGGAGCGUGAAGGAGGAAUGCCCGAGGGGUUGUAAACUUCUUUUAUAUGGGAAUAAAAUGUUCCACGUGUGGGAUUUUGUAUGUACCAUAUGAAUAAGGAUCGGCUAACUCCGUGCCAGCAGCCGCGGUAAUACGGAGGAUCCGAGCGUUAUCCGGAUUUAUUGGGUUUAAAGGGAGCGUAGGUGGAUUGUUAAGUCAGUUGUGAAAGUUUGCGGCUCAACCGUAAAAUUGCAGUUGAAACUGGCAGUCUUGAGUACAGUAGAGGUGGGCGGAAUUCGUGGUGUAGCGGUGAAAUGCUUAGAUAUCACGAAGAACUCCGAUUGCGAAGGCAGCUCACUGGACUGCAACUGACACUGAGGCUCGAAAGUGUGGGUAUCAAACAGGAUUAGAUACCCUUGUAGUC
rnacentral:rRNA from 1 species